rnacentral:rRNA from 1 species
UUUAUACAAUGGAGAGUUUGAUCCUGGCUCAGGAUGAACGCUAGCGGCAGGCUUAACACAUGCAAGUCGAGGGGCAGCGGGGAGUAGCAAUACUCCGCC